GUGACGAGGUGGAUGAGCUCUAUUACAUCCAUCCCUUAACCGGGGAUGUCCUUGAGCGCGUCAGCGAAGUGCGGAUCUUCCCGGCCACGC
rnacentral:tRNA from 1 species